GCGCUAUUAGCUCAGUUGGAUAGAGCAUCCGCCUUCUAAGUGGAUGGUCACAGGUUCGAGUCCUGUAUGGCGCGCCA
rnacentral:tRNA from 2 species